ensembl:lncRNA
UUCCCUCUGUUAGUGAUCCUGAUUGUUGUUCUUUAUUUAGUGCGUGCAUGGUGACAUGGUAUUUGCAAACCAUAAAACCAAUGUGUUUGCAUGCAGAAGUGCUGGUUCUCUCCCCGGAAACUACAAGACCUUCACUAUCAACUGGAUGGUCUUCACAGUCCCCUCCAACCCAAACCAUGACAGGAUCCUAUGAUUGUAUCAACUCACAGACCAUCUAUGUUUGGGACCAUCUAUGUUUGGAACCAUCUCUUUUGGACCAUCUAUGUUUGGGACCACCUAUGUUUGGGUCUAUCUAUGUUUAGGACCAUCUCUUUGGAGACAUCUAUGUUUGGGACCAUCUAUGACUGGGACCAUCUCUGUGGAACUAUUUCCUUGGCUACGGCUCUGGCUCUAUGGCUGAGACCAUCUAUGACUUGGAUCAUCUAUGUUUGGGACCAUCUAUGAUUGGGACCAUCUAGGCAGACCUCACCCACGCUGAGGAUUUUAAC